GGAGACGGAAACGCCCGAGCGAGUGCGUGUGAGCCGGGCCGCAGGGAGAUGGUGGCGCCUCGGUGCUCAUCCCUCAGCCUCCCCUCUCGACAACGCAGCCAAUCGACAUUUAGUUCUGCAGAGCCGCGGGGCGCGGGCGGCGUUGCAGGCUGGCAGCAGGGAGGGAGUGGCGGAAGGGAGAAGGGGGCGCACCUCCAGGAAGUGAUGGUUGCCAAGGAAUGCUUCAGGGCCAACGGCGUCACCGGCCGCCGCCUCAUCCACGCGAACUGCUCCAGCCUGCCCGCCAUGGGCGUCACGGACUUCGGCCACAUGCAGGAACUGAAAUUCCUCUAGAUAAGCAACAGACAGCCAGGACAGUGCCACAAGGAAGUGAGACUGUCUCAGUAAUGUUUUCCAAAGCUUGCAAAAUCCAAGUAUGCAGAGCUCUGCAGGAUGUGGCCCUUUCAGGAAGUGUCUACUAGAGGAGGAAAUUUCACGGCACGUGCGAGAGUUGCUGGGGAUUGAGGAGCCUCUCUUCAGCAGAUCCAUUGCCCUCCCAUACAGAGACAAUAUGGGUCUCUUCCUAGAGAGAAAGGCACCAACAGGAGAGAAAGCAGAUGCCCUCACUUUCUCACAGUUUAUCCAAAAAGCAGGACUGGAGCCCUAUACUACAGUUCCUUCUUUGCAAGAAUCCCAGACCAUGGUGGGAGUGGAUGCUCUCCCUGCAUCACAGGACAUGCAGAGGCAGAAUUAGAGACUCAUACUGCACUUCUGCCUUUGUAAGAAGCCCAGCAGCCACAGCAGACUGUACCCUUAUUACCUUGCAGAUUAUUCAAGGAGGUACAGUUCCACCUUUUCACAAUUACAAAAAUUGUGCAUUGCACUGCCA